GUUUACACUGUAUAGGAUUCGCUGCUCACGACAUCUUCGUUUGCUGCCCAGGAGCAACAUUUAACAACAAAGGUUUACUCUUUCGAUAACUUCUGUAUGUUUCUGCUCGUUACUACCAUUAUAAAUGUUUAGGGCUUUAGGCUAUUUCGUUGACUGUUAAAACUGAUAGUGUUGGUCUACAUAUCUUUCAAAAUUUGCUCUCUGAUUGGCUGUUUUAUUAACCGUUU